UGGGGAAUAUUGGACAAUGGAGGGAACUCUGAUCCAGCAAUUCUGUGUGUGUGAAGAAGGUUUUAGGACUGUAAAACACUUUUAGUAGGGAAGAAAAAAAUGACGGUACCUACAGAAGAAGCAACGGCUAAAUACGUGCCAGCAGUCGCGGUAAUACGUAUGUUGCGAGCGUUAUCCGGAAUUAUUGGGCUUAAAGGGCAUCUAGGCGGUAAGACAAGUUGAAGGUGAAAACCUGUGGCUCAACCAUAGGCUUGCCUACAAAACUGUUGAACUAGAGUACUGGAAAGGUGGGUGGAACUACACGAGUAGAGGUGAAAUUCGUAGAUAUGUGUAGGAAUGCCGAUGAUGAAGAUAACUCACUGGACAGAAACUGACGCUGAAGUGCGAAAGCUAGGGGAGCAAACAGG
rnacentral:rRNA from 1 species